GGCCAAGCUACCCUGCAGACACGGACAACCUCGGGAAACUGAGGCUAAUCCGCGAUAUCGAUCCCAUGCUGGAACAGCCGGGAUCAUCAAACGCUCCGGCGCUGCAGGAUGCGGCUGCGGCCGAUUAGGUAGACGGUGGGGUAACGGCCCACCGUGCCGAUAAUCGGUACGGGUUGUGAGAGCAAGAGCCCGGAGACGGAAUCUGAGACAGGAUUCCGGGCCCUACGGGGCGCAGCAGGCGCGAAACCUUUACACUGCACGCAAGUGCGAUAAGGGGACUCCGAGUGCGAGGGCAUAUAGUCCUCGCUUUUGAGAACCGUAAGGCGGUUCUCGAAUAAGAGCUGGGCAAGACCGGUGCCAGCCGCCGCGGUAAUACCGGCAGCUCAAGUGAUGGCCAAUCUUAUUGGGCCUAAAGCGUCCGUAGCUGGCCGUGAAAGUUCGUCGGGAAAUCCAUCCGCUCAACGGAUGGGCGUCCGGCGAAAACUUCACGGCUUGGGACCGGAAGGCUCGAGGGGUACGUCCGGGGUAGGAGUGAAAUCCUGUAAUCCUGGACGGACCGCCGAUGGCGAAAGCACCUCGAGAAGACGGAUCCGACAGUAAGGGACGAAAGCUAGGGUCUCGAACCGGAUUAGAUACCCGGGUAGUCCUAGCCGUAAACAAUGUUCACUAGGUGUGGCACAGGCUACGAGCCUGUGCUGUGCCGUAGGGAAGCCGAGAAGUGAACCGCCUGGGAAGUACGUCCGCAAGGAUGAAACUUAA
rnacentral:rRNA from 1 species